CCUACGGGUGGCAGCAGUGAGGAAUAUUGGUCAAUGGUCGCAAGUCUGAACCAGCCAUGCCGCGUGCAGGAAGACGGCUCUAUGAGUUGUAAACUGCUUUUGUACGAGGGUAAACGCAGAUACGCGUAUCUUUCUGAAAGUAUCGUACGAAUAAGGAUCGGCUAACUCCGUGCCAGCAGCCGCGGUAAUACGGAGGAUUCAAGCGUUAUCCGGAUUUAUUGGGUUUAAAGGGUGCGUAGGCGGUCGGAUAAGUUAGAGGUGAAAUCCCGAGGCUCAACGUCGGAAUUGCCGCUGAUACUGUUCGGCUAGAGAGUAGUUGCGGUAGGCGGAAUGUAUGGUGUAGCGGUGAAAUGCUUAGAGAUCAUACAGAACACCGAUUGCGAAGGCAGCUUACCAGGCUACUACUGACGUUGAGGCACGAAAGCGUGGGGAGCAAACAGGAUUAGAUACCCCUGUAGUC
rnacentral:rRNA from 1 species